AAAAGAAAUUAUAAACCGCUGGUUCAUUUGCAAAGGAGAGUCACGGCGCCGUGGCAUUUUACUUGAUAUUUGAACGAGAACGAGAGGUGCAGUGCGCACGUACAAGGAAACAAAUGACGGGAGGGGGGAUGGAAGGAGAAAGAGUGUAUGUAUUUGCAGUGCAGAAUGAAACAUGAGGGAUUAUACCAGCACUAAUGCAACGGAUU
rnacentral:lncRNA from 1 species